rnacentral:rRNA from 1 species
CAGUCGCCACGGUAAAACAGAGGGUGCGAGCGUUAAUCGGAUUUACUGGGCGUAAAGCGUGCGUAGGCGGCUAAUUGAGUCGGAUGUGAAAUCCCCGAGCUUAACUUGGGAAUUGCAUUCGAUACUGGUUAGCUAGAGUGUGGGAGAGGAUGGUAGAAUUCCAGGUGUAGCGGUGAAAUGCGUAGAGAUCUGGAGGAAUACCGAUGGCGAAGGCAGCCAUCUGGCCUAACACUGACGCUGAGGUACGAAAGCAUGGGGAGCAAACAGGAUUAGAUACCCCUGUAGUCCCUGUCUCUUUACC